rnacentral:rRNA from 1 species
GCAAGUCGAACGGUAACAGCGGAGCUUGCUCCGGCUGACGAGUGGCGGACGGGUGAGUAAUGCUUAGGAAUCUGCCCAGUAGCGGGGGACAACAUGGUGAAAACCAUGCUAAUACCGCAUACGCCCUACGGGGGAAAGCAGGGGAUCUUCGGACCUUGCACUAUUGGAUGAGCCUAAGUCAGAUUAGCUUGUUGGUGGGGUAAAAGCCUACCAAGGCGACGAUCUGUAGCUGGUCUGAGAGGACGAUC